AAAGGAAUAGACGGGGGCCCGCACAAGCGGAGGAGCAUGUGGUUUAAUUCGAUGAUACGCGAGGAACCUUACCUGGGCUAGAACCGGCGCUGGAUGUUUGUGAAAGCAGACAGUCCUUCGGGACAGCGUUGGAGGUGCUGCAUGGUUGUCGUCAGCUCGUGCCGUGAGGUGUCGGAUUAAGUUCCAUAACGAGCGCAACCCCUACUGUUAGUUGCCAGCAUGUAAAGAUGGGGACUCUAGCAGGACUGCCGGCGCAAGCCGAGAGGAAGGUGGGGAUGACGUCAAAUCAGCACGGCCCUUAUGUCCAGGGCUACACACGUGCUACAAUGGUCGGUACAGAGGGCAGCUACCUGGUGACAGGAUGCCAAUCUCGAAAACCGGUCUCAGUUCGGAUCGAAGUCUGCAACUCGACUUCGUGAAGUUGGAUUCGCUAGUAAUCGCGCAUCAGCCAUGGCGCGGUGAAUACGUUCCCGGGCCUUGUACACACCGCCCGU
rnacentral:rRNA from 1 species